rnacentral:misc_RNA from 1 species
AUCCUUUUCUUUCCAAGAGUUCGUCAUGAUUCUGUUUGUUUUUGCCAUUCUUAUUCCUGCUGCUGUUCACGGCAAAGCCGUCCGAGCGCACGGAAAUCACGGACAUAACCAGGGCUUCGUGACGGACAACCCUCUUCACGUCAACAACGAGAUCCAGGACCUCAACGUUCACUUCGGAACCCACUUUUGCCUGGAUCUUUUAGUCGUUGACUGUAAGACUCACGUAACCAAUGGUGAUGAACAGGUGUGCGGUUCAGACGAUCGCACAUACGCUAAUCAUUGCGAGUUCGCCCAUGCACUGUGCAUGUUCUCUACGUUGAGUAUCAAGAGUCACGGUGCUUGCAAUAGCGCUACACGACCACCAACCACAAUGAUGCCAGUAGAUACCACCAUGAUGCCAUAGAUACCACCAUGAUGGGAACAGAUGCCACCAUGAUGGGAACAGACACCACCAUGGCUCCAGUGGAUAUGACAACAAUGAUGAUGUCCACUACCACCACCCAGAGCCAGGAGACUGUCCUGUUCCAACAGGUGUUCUGUAAAAACAAGAACCUGAUCAACUGCCCAGCGACUGUCACACUCACCUGUGGAUCCAACGGCGUCAUGUACAACAGCGGAUGUGAAUUCUCCAAAGCUAAAUGUGACGAUAUCACACUGAGUCAGGUCGAUGUUAGUCAAUGCUCUACUCCAGUUGUAGGAUGAACUCAAAUAAAUCAUGACACACUUU